rnacentral:rRNA from 1 species
AUGGUUGCUGCCCGAGACCAUGUGGAUUAUAAUCGCAACUUUCUCUUCAAUCGCACGAGCGAUAACUGCCAAAUCAUUACUGCAGAUGUAUACAUUCCUCUUCCCUGCUUGAGGUGGGUUUAUUGGCUUUGCCAUAUAAAUUGUUACUUAUACUAUGGUUGUCAAUUGCAGGAGCCCUACUUGACGCCGACUGGCCCCUCUCGUGCAAUUCUGUCCCUUGAACCUGUGGACUUUGAAGUUGAUCUUAAGUUCAAGAGAGAGUUUAAAGAUGGAAAAGCAUUGAUCAACCAAGUCCUCCGAUACCAACGGAGCCCUGGUCCUUUUGGUACAAUCUUGGACAACAACCUUUGCACCAUAAGAUUUCAUUGGAAUUUUUUUAGCAAAGGUGCCUCUCCCCUUGAAGAAUUUGUGUUGCUUGAUUUUUCAGAUGGAGAUAAUCCGCCGGUGGAUCAAGAUGGUAACAUUCAUCUGUCAAGGCGUGUUGUUUCUGUAGAUGUGAACCAAGACUUCAAAGUUUCUGUACAGGCCUACUCUGCAUGUGGUGGUAGCUUGAAAAUACCCAUUGCAACAGGUGAUGCUGUGUUCGAACCCAAAAAAGACGGCGGCGUAACAGAGAAAGAAUGUGACAUUGGUGCUAGCUGCAGGGUCAAGAUUAAAGUGGCUUGGUCUCUACUUAUUUGGUCCAAGCUUCUACUCCAGGGUUAA